rnacentral:rRNA from 1 species
UACGUAGGGUGCAAGCGUUGUCCGGAAUUAUUGGGCGUAAAGAGCUCGUAGGCGGUUUGUCGCGUCGAAUGUGAAAUCCCGGGGCUCAACCCCGGGUCUGCAUUCGAUACGGGCAGACUAGAGUUCGGUAGGGGAGUCUGGAAUUCCUGGUGUAGCGGUGAAAUGCGCAGAUAUCAGGAGGAACACCGGUGGCGAAGGCGGGACUCUGGGCCGUAACUGACGCUGAGGAGCGAAAGCAUGGGGAGCGAACAGG